rnacentral:rRNA from 1 species
GAUGAACGCUGGCGGCGUGCCUAAUACAUGCAAGUCGAGCGAACAGACGAGGAGCUUGCUCCUCUGACGUUAGCGGCGGACGGGUGAGUAACACGUGGAUAACCUACCUAUAAGACUGGGAUAACUUCGGGAAACCGGAGCUAAUACCGGAUAAUAUAUUGAACCGCAUGGUUCAAUAGUGAAAGACGGUUUUGCUGUCACUUAUAGAUGGAUCCGCGCCGCAUUAGCUAGUUGGUAAGGUAACGGCUUACCAAGGCAACGAUGCGUAGCCGACCUGAGAGGGUGAUCGGCCACACUGGAACUGAGACACGGUCCAGACUCCUACGGGAGGCAGCAGUAGGGAAUCUUCCGCAAUUGGCGAAAGCCUGACGGAGCAACGCCGCGUGAGUGAUGAAGGUCUUCUGAUCGUAAAACUCUGUUAUUAGUGAAGAACAAAUGUGUAAGUAACUACGCACGUCUUGACGGUACCUAAUCAGAAAGCCACGGCUAACUACGUG